CCUAACUUGUCCAGAGAUUUCAAGAAGCGCAUGCGCGCGGUUUGAAUGUGCCCUGAUGGAUUAUGGGUCGGAUUUGAAAUCAAAUGAGGAUUAUGGAAUUAAGGACAGGGUUAGGACGGAAGCAUUAACCAGGGUGGAUAAACAACUCUUGGGUGACUGUUUGCGAUAAGUGAUCGAUAGAUUUCUCGAUCGAGUUGACGAGAUGUAUCUUGUAUGAGUAAUUAGUUGGUUUGUGGAUGCCGGGCUUGGGCGCGUCUCCUGUCGCUGCCGUUUAGUGCGCCGCGUCGCCACUGGGCGCGCUACUGGAAAGUCGGUCCAACGGAAAGUCGCUCGCGCCGCUCUAUGGGAAAUGGACUUGAGGAUAAUUCCAGUUGCAUCUCGGAAGAGUCUGAAGAGCGGUUCCCAUGUACGGUGUUGAUGCGUCGCGUGAGAUAACCUUGUUAACGCGUAGGUACUCCAUGGAUAGAGGAGGGAACAUAGACGUGCACACGUGUAUACGCAAAUGUGAAUGCUAGUUCAUACUUGUGUAUAUACAUAUAUGUAUAUGUAUGUGUGUGUGCACGAGUCAUCGCGACUUUUUUCGCGUAUAAAGGAAUACGACAAAAAAAAAAAGAAAUGGUAGCACCGGCGACACGUCUCACAGCUCUCGCUUGCUUCGGCAUAUACAUACUGUCCGCUUUUACGCUUAAACCAUUUACUGCUAUGAUGCUGCUGCUGCUGCGCCGCUUACAUGAUUUUCAAUUGACUUUGUUUUAGCUGCCAGUGCAGUAGGUUGUUGUCGCUUAAAGUUCCUUCGCCCACCGAUACGGUUCGCUUUUCACACUUUACUACUUUGGAUAACUCUGCUAACUCUGCUGCUGUAUGUAAAGAUUUGGCUGGUCGUGGGCGUGGAGUACUAACGCGUGGCCGGCUCGGUGGCACCCAAGCACGUGGGCCAGUCAGGGGGGCACGCAACCCCGCAACUACCGUAGCCCGUGGGGCCCAGCGGCCAGCCGCUCGUGGGGGGGUCCGCGCCAAGGGAAGUUUACCAGGUGAGGAUGCAGGUAAACGAAAGUUUGACGGGGGUCACCAGAACCAGGGGGAAUCUAAACGUCGCUUCCAGAGCAGCUGGGGAAACCAACCCCUCGCCCAACAACCACUGGGCAAUGCGUACGGAUUGGCGAGUCUGAACGGCGGCGGCGGCGGAGGUGGCGGAGGUGGAGGUGGAGGUGGCGGAAGCGAAAGUGGCGGCAGCGGCGAGGACGAGUGGUACCAGGACUCCUACCAGCCGUGGAGCUAACUUCGGCGGGUGCGCGAGUCAUCCACCGCACCAGGCACCGCGUAGGUACUUGCAACCGAGCUAAAAAGAAACGGGCGAGCGCAAUCCUCAGAGAUCGGCCGCGAGCACGACGGGGACCGGGGACCGUCCAUCCAGUCGCCGCCGUCCCGGGGCAUAAAUCGAUUAACCUAACCUCUAACGCGUUCGGGAGGAGAGGUCGCUUGGAAAGGUAAAGAGAUAUAUUCGGUUGGAAAUAGCGAGGGUGGAGAGAUGGGAUAGGAAAGAGCGAGGGAAAGAGAGAUGGAGAGAUAGGAGGUUAUAUGGGAGCGAGAGAGAGAGAGGGAAGGUAGAGAAGCGUAGAGAAGUGUGAGAGGUAUAGGAGAGCGAUGGCAGCGCCGCCACCACCAUUGCCCGCUGUUGUGAUUAUGUACAGUCAUGUGCCACUGGGACUAUGUUAUCACGUUGGAGUGUGACCACCCACCCACCCCGUACUCUUAUUAUAUAUUAUGAUAAUACCUACUCGUAAGUACCACUACUACAUUGUCACAUUGUUUACUGCCAAGUGAGAAGGAGGAUCAGCGAUGUUGACAUUGGGAUUGUGAUGACGGCUCGUAUAAGUAGUUAAGGGAGAAAGAGAGGGAGAGAGAGAGAGAGAGGACCCUAUCGGGCGAGGACCCUCUAGGGGUCCGCGCGAGAAAGAGCGAGAGGGCGUGACGGAGAACAGACACGGAGAGAGAGAGAGAGAAAGAAGAGAGCAAGGGAUGCGGGUGCGUGGAAGCGUGCGCGCGAGUGCGAGUGAGAGGGAGCGAUUGGACCGUACGGGAGUGCGAGCGAGAGGGAGGGGGCGCUCGGUGGCGCCGCUUGGCGGGACCCGCGCGAAUCACUCGGCCCGCCGCGGCGCCGCGACCGCCGCCCGAUGGGAGGGUGGGCCCGCGGGUAUGCGAAUGCGAGCGAGAGAGCGAGUACCUGGGGACCGCGCGCGCGAGAGAGAGGGUGAGUGACAGCGGAGAUGGGCGGAGAGGCGGGAACCAUGCCGGACGAGCGGGUGUCUCUGUGUGUGUAUGUGUGCGUGGAGCGCGCCAAGCGCCGCUAGACCUUCUAUUGUUGGUCUAUAAUGUGUACAGUCAGUGAAACUAUUACUAUUAAGGGUCAGGCAAAGGGUUUCGAGGACGCGCGCGAGCUCGACGUAGGGGACGAGAGGAAGGAACGCCAGGCCGCCGCCAGUCAACGCCUCGCAAAGUCCGACGAGAGGCAAACCACCCCACCCCACCCUACCCCACCCCCCGGGUCGGACUUUAAGGCGAAGAGAGAACGCGUCGCCCAAUUUUGUACAUUAAAUUCGCCGCUCCGAGGGAGACGGAGAGAAAACGGAGACUCGAGGUCUACUCUGAGAUCCGCUGAGACCGACCGACCUCGGGAGCGACUCGUCCUUCUCGGCGGAGACCGGAGGAGAGAUGGAGAGAUAGGGAGAGAGAGAGAUGCGCGCGGGGAAAGAACCGACAGAGGAAGCUAGAAAGAGAGAGAGGAAGGGACUUUUCAAAAUCGCGAAUUCGGCUGAGGGAGGGCGCGGAUGAAAUUUCUUCCGUUCUUCUUAUUCCCCCCCCCCUGUAUUUUAUUAUUAUUACUUUUUUUUUUUCUCUUUUUAACGAUUGACUGGCUACCGGUGGAGGCGACGAGCGGAGAAAAGAGAGAGACGACGUUAGGCAUGCGAGUGUGUAUACGGUGAUGCAUGAACACAUACAGCACACACUGUUUGAGUGUUGACUUGUUGUUAUUGUUAGCCUGUUAGUUAAUUAGUAAGAGUUGUAAGUGCGGGCUGUAUAGUUGGUCCCUGUCCCUGGAGCCCAGACACCCCCUGUUCUGGAGAUUAUUGGAUAGAAAGAGAGAAAGAGAGAGAGAGUAUGAGAGAACGAGGACGAGAAUGCGAGGGUGAGACAGAGAGAGAGAGAGAGAGCGUGAGACAGAGUCGGAGAAUGAGAAACACGAUCCGUUCGCGAUAAUACGAUUCAUGCACCCCCCCCAAAUGAGGAUUAACGAAAAACCGUACGAUUAGGAGGAUGGAUAGGAGACGAAGGGAUGGAAAACGCAAAAAAAGAAUAUACGCAACCACAACGACGACUACGGCGACGACGACGGCGACGGCGACGACGAUGAUAACCGCGAUAUCACUUGUAGUGAUUUUAUUGAACUGCUGCACAUCCGGUCUCCGAUUUUGACAACGAUUAGACGAUCGACACACCGCGAGAUUUAAAUGUAAACGCCGACUUCGAUUGGGAUUGAUUUUACUCCUUUCUGCCGAUUCCGGUGGGUCACGUGACGCUGGUCACGUGGCUCCGAUCACGUGGCACCGGUCACGUGACGCGCGGCCAAGAUGGCGCGGGAAACGCGAAUCGGAGGACGAGACGGUGAGAGGGAAAACAAAAGCGACACACGAGGGAUCGAAUAUAUAAAUAAAUAUAAAUAAAACGGGACAGACGCGCCGCGUGAUUCCACGAUCGACCUUCUGCUGACGGACGCGACGGGAUUCUGACGACGAUGGAGGAAAAGGAAAACGCGCGCGAGCGCGCGAGCGCGAAAAAAAAAGGAAAAAUGGCGAAAACUCGAGAAACCUAGUGAGGAGAGAUACGGCGAGAAGGAACGUCUGGACGAAGAUCAAUUGCUCGCAACCCCCUCUUUUAUUUAUGGAGAGCACUUUGUUAAUUUUUAUUCAUGUUUUACUCUUUAACUCUUUAAUUCUCUUCUUCCCCCCUCGCUGGGCGCGGCGAGGGGUGCAACGCAUCUAAUAGUAAUAAUAACGAUUACUGUGCCUCGGUAGGACGUCCUUCCAACCCACCCCGACACGCAUCUGACACAUUCGACACAUUUGACACGUGACACCACACGAUAACACACCACAUACCCUGAUUACCACACGCUUACUACCCCGCCCUCGAGUCGGACGAUCGUCGUGCGAGUCCUUACACUUUUGUCCAUUUACACGAGCCCGAAACAUAACCUGCCCAGCCUACCACCCACCCACACCCACCUGCUACCCACUGCGUUAACACGCACUGUUAAAAAUGUCUCGGUACCUCGAAUUUUUUCGAAUACAAAUGUACGCCAAAUUCCACCCAAAAUCCAAGUAAUCGUGAAAUAUGCAGCUUCACAAUGAAAAAAAAAAA